rnacentral:rRNA from 1 species
UGGGGGAUAUUGCACAAUGGGCGAAAGCCUGAUGCAGCGACGCCGCGUGGGGGAUGAAGGCCUUCGGGUUGUAAACUUCUUUUGCUCUGAACAAGGCAUGCUAAUGGGUGUGUUGAGUGUAGGGGUUGAUUAGCGCCGGCUAACUACGUGCCAGCAGCCGCGGUAAUACGUAGGGCGCGAGCGUUGUCCGGAAUUAUUGGGCGUAAAGGGCUUGUAGGUGGCUGGUUGCGUCUGUCGUGAAAGCUCAUGGCUUAACUGUGGGUUUGCGGUGGGUACGGGCUGGCUUGAGUGCAGUAGGGGAGGGUGGAAUUCCUGGUGUGGCGGUGGAAUGCGCAGAUAUCAGGAGGAAUACCGGUGGCGAAGGCGGGUCUCUGGGCUGUUACAGACACUGAGGAGCGAAAGCAUGGGGAGCGAACAGG